ACAGCAGCUUCGGGCCAAAGGAGGCAGCAGGGGCCGGCUGGGCUGGCCUCGCCACAAAGGGGCUCCCUGAGCAGGCAGGUCAGUCACAGGAACCGUGGGGCAGCCCUUGGCUGAGAAUUCUGAAAAUCUGUCCCUGCCUGGAGCUGUGGGCAGGGCUGCUGGAACACUUUCGGUUUUGUUUCUGCAAGAAACGAAACUCAACAGGAAGACUUCAGAAACGAGGCCAUGGAGGGAGCCAUCCAAGACUCCGGAGACAAGGCCAUGGAGGGAGCCGUUCAGGUGUGCAGGAACUGCAAGAGAAGCGUGGCCUCUGCCCACCUGUCUCUCCACGAGGCGCACUGCAUGCUGUUCCUGGUCCUCUGCCCGGAGUGCAAGGAGCCCGUCCCACAGGCGAAGAUGGAGGAGCACUGUGAGACGGGGCACCAGCAGGUCGGGUGUGCGAUGUGCCAGCAGACCAUGCAGAAGCACUUGCUGGAGUUUCACGAGACCACAGAAUGCCUGGAGCGCCCCACUGACUGUAAGUUCUGCGGGGUGGUCGUGCGCCUCGGCAAGCUGAAGAUCCACGAGCACCACUGCGGCAGCCGGACCGAACUCUGCCUGGACUGUGGCCAGUUCGUCGUGGUCCGAGGGCUGGCCCAGCACAAAGAUGUGUGCGGGAGGGAGCAAGCCCAGCCCCAGAGAGGGAAGAGAAUUUCAGCUCCUAAAAACAAUAUCUCCCAUCAUGGCUGUAAUCGAAUGACCCCAGGAAACAAGUAUUUACACCAUCUGGAUAAAUGCCGCACAGUCUCAGAGUCUACAAAGUAUUUGUCAAUUGGAGAGCCAACGAUUUCUCCUCCACCGCUCCCAAGUCAGGCUGCUGAAGAUCAGACUUCCACAGCAAAAAGAGAUGUUCGUCCAAAGACAAAAAAUAUAAACAGAUUUCCUCUUCUUUCUGAAACUUCAACAAGGCAAGCACCAAGUGACACAAAGCCCCAGAUCUCGUCUCCUGUAGAAGAUGAGGCAGCCUAUGACAUUCUGAGAAGAUGUGCUCAGUGUGACAUCCUACUUCCCCUGCCGACCCUAAACCAACAUCAGGAGAAAUGCUGGUGGUUAGCAUCAUUGAAUGGAAAACAAGUGAGAAACUUCAGCUAGAUUUGGAGAAGAAAAGGUACUACAGAUUUGGAAGGUUUACUGGUCUCCCUGCUUACUUUGUGUGGUGGCCUUUACUUGCAAACGGAGAGAUGUUGGUCUACUCAAGAGCUACAGAUAAACCAGGAGAAAAAAAGCCUCCAGAUCUUCUGCCUGAGAACUGUGAUCACACAUCAGGACCCCACAGCCUGACGCCCUGGAGGACCCAUGUCCAUCUCACAUCCCCAUCUCAUAGAGCAAUGUACGAGAGCUCAACUUCCCCGCACUCCCCGGCCAGCAGUUGUCGUUGUCAUUAACAUUUUCUCUAGCUUUAGCUAUUCUAACAGGUAUGCGGGCAUACCUUACUGUCGUUUCCAACUGCAGUUCCCUAAUGUCUAAUGAUGUUGACCAUCUUUUCAUUUGCUUAUUUGUCAUCUGAGAUGUCUAUUCAGGUCUCCUGCCCAUUUUCUAAGUGGACUGUUUACUGUCGAGUUUUGAGAUUAUAUAUAG